AACGAACGCUGGCGGCAGGCUUAACACAUGCAAGUCGAACGCCCCGCAAGGGGAGUGGCAGACGGGUGAGUAACGCGUGGGAAUCUACCCAGAUCUACGGAACAACAGUUGGAAACGACUGCUAAUACCGUAUACGCCCUACGGGGGAAAGAUUUAUCGGAUUUGGAUGAGCCCGCGUUGGAUUAGCUAGUUGGUGGGGUAAUGGCCUACCAAGGCGACGAUCCAUAGCUGGUCUGAGAGGAUGAUCAGCCACACUGGGACUGAGACACGGCCCAGACUCCUACGGGAGGCAGCAGUGGGGAAUAUUGGACAAUGGGCGCAAGCCUGAUCCAGCUAUGCCGCGUGAGUGAUGAAGGCCUUAGGGUUGUAAAGCUCUUUCACCGAUGAAGAUAAUGACGGUAGUCGGAGAAGAAGCCCCGGCUAACUUCGUGCCAGCCGCCGCGUAAGAC
rnacentral:rRNA from 1 species